GCGGCCGCAGGGCCCGGCGGCCGGUUGGGAGCUGCGCCCGGGCGGCCCGCAGGCCCGCGAGAGCGGGGCGGCCGCGGCUGAGGCGAGGCGGGCCGCGCGCCGGCGUUAGAUCCCACGGCAGAGGCGCCCGGGGCGGCCGGGCCCACAAUGCCGAAAGCGCCGCUGCGGCAGCGGCUGCGGAGGCUCCCCGGGGCCCCGGCGCCUGGACCUGGCGCGGGCAGGAGGCUCGGGCAGAUGGUCCGGCCCGAGACCCGGGUUUGGGCGACUAGGAGCUGCCGGCGGCCGCCUUCGGACCCGGUGACUUACAAGAUUAAAAUUAUUUGGUUGCUGAUGGUUCUGAACAAAUACAAUUCUUUUAUUUGAGGUAUGCCAUUUUGAAGACUGAGACAUUGGAGUUUUGUCCUUGAGGAUAAUGGAAAGCUUUAGGAAAGUCUGUAUUGUGUAUGGCAAAAAUGGUGACUCCCCAAACUGAAUCCUUUAAAGGACCUGUACAACGUAGUAGACACUGGUGGAGGGAUUUAUACCCAGUCAGCUUGAAGAGUCUCAAAUGGACCCUACCACUGAAAAUCAAGAUGGCAGUCCACUAUGGGGAAUUGAGGAAAAUGGAUUAAUACAAGAGUCCUGUGAUAAUAUACAACCCAAGACAGGGUUCUUUUAACAUGGAUUCCAUGAAAUGAAUGAAGACAUAGGUCUCUUACCCAACACAAAUGGACAGUGGACCUGACUUUCUAAAGACUUUUUUGUAUCAUUAAAACAAGUACAUUUUUGACAUUUGGAGAAGAAAGAUGGCACAUUAACACAGAUAAUAGUUUGUAUGCCUGGAAUUUUUUGCAAGUUUGAUUUGUAUGAGUAUGACCUCGUGGAAUGUUAACUUUAAUAAAAUUUAUAACACUU